AUUACCCGCUGAACUUAAGCAUAUCAAUAAGCGGAGGAAAAGAAACUAACAAGGAUUCCCCUAGUAACUGCGAGUGAAGCGGGAAAAGCUCAAAUUUAAAAUCUGGUGGUCUUUUGGUCAUCCGAGUUGUAAUUUAGAGAAGCGUCUUCCGCGCUGGACCGUACACAAGUCUCCUGGAACGGAGCGUCAUAGAGGGUGAGAAUCCCGUCUUUGGUACGGACCCCCAGGGCUUCUGUGAUGCGCUCUCGAAGAGUCGAGUUGUUUGGGAAUGCAGCUCAAAAUGGGUGGUGAACUCCAUCUAAAGCUAAAUAUUGGCGAGAGACCGAUAGCGAACAAGUACCGUGAGGGAAAGAUGAAAAGCACUUUGGAAAGAGAGUGAAACAGUACGUGAAAUUGUUGAAAGGGAAAUGCUUAAAGUCAGUCGCGUCUGCCGAGACUCAGCCUUGCUCCGGCUUGGCGUAUUUCUCGGUCGACGGGUCAGCAUCAAUUUGGUCCCUCGGAUAAUGGCAAGGGAAAGGUGGCACCUUUGCGGGUGUGUUAUAGUCUUUUGUCGCAUGCGAGGGGUGAGAUUGAGGAACUCAGCACGCGUGCCCUUCUGGGUGUGUCGGGGCCUUGGCCCACGCCACGUGCUUAGGAUGCUGGCGUAAUGGCUUUAAACGACCCGUCUUGAAACACGGACCAAGGAGUCUAACAUGCCCGCGAGUGUUCGGGUGGAAAACCCGUGCGCGUAAUGAAAGUGAAAGUUGGGACCUUCGUCGUGAAGGGCACCGACGCCCGGACCAGACCUUCUGUGACGGAUCUGCGGUGGAGCGUGCAUGUUGGGACCCGAAAGAUGGUGAACUAUGCCUGAAUAGGGUGAAGCCAGAGGAAACUCUGGUGGAGGCUCGUAGCGAUUCUGACGUGCAAAUCGAUCGUCAAAUUUGGGUAUAGGG
rnacentral:rRNA from 1 species